GGCUCUGUGGCUUAAUUGGUUAAAGCACCUGUCUUGUAAACAGGAGAUCCUGGAUUCAAAUCCCAGCAGAGCCU
rfam:Alligator sinensis unplaced genomic scaffold scaffold434_1, whole genome shotgun sequence